GCCAAUGCACUGUAGGCACACACAAAAACACACACACACACACAAUCGAGAGACAGAAAAGGUGACACAAGGCGGCGAGGAAAACUGGGUCGGCGUCAGCUUUUGCGACGGAAAAGAACAAUAUAAUAAUAAAAAUCCCCAUAGAACCGAAAAUCCAAAACGGCAGAAAGUAUACCCUUUAAAAGUUUAAGCGAUCUAAAUCUAUGGUUAUAACGAAAAUUCUUCUAGUCAUCCAGUCUUAAAAAUUCUCUAUUCGAUAUACAAAUAUAUUUGGUAAAUUUUCACUAACUAUAAUAUACCCUUAAAUGGGAUAGCUCAAAAAUCAAAGUAUUCUGAAGUGGACCGAGUCCGGUGAGGUGGUGUCGCCUGGCGGCAAGGCAAACAAAAUUUAAUUAGAGCGCCAACAACAAGGUUAAAGUCAUUCUAAUAAUGUAAAUAUAAGGGAAAAGGAAUGAGAAAGAGAAGGUAUGAAUAGAUUUCGCAGAGACGAGACACAGAAUGGGGACGACGACGACGAUGAUGAUGAUGAUGAUGAUGAUGAUGACAACCUACCUCCGCACUCAUGGCCUGCAAAUGCUCCAUUUCAUGGGCACUAACUUGAUUUAGAUUCACGUGAAUGGCGCUUAGCAAUUUUUGUAUACUAUCGCUAGACGUGGACGGUGGAGAUGGUGAGGAGGCAGCAGAUUGUUGUGGCAUUGCAAUUAAAUUAUUAUGCUGAUCCUCCAAUUGAUUGAUAUCCUGGGCAGCCGAAUCGAGUAGAUCACGUAGAGAUAAGAGAGGAGACCUAUCGCCUAGAUGAAGUGGAUGGCCGGUGGUGACUAGAUUUGCCGCAGUUGCUGCUGAUACGUCUGUUCCUGCUGCUGUGGAUGAACUGUUGCCAUCGUCAUUCGUUGUGAUUGCUGCCAGGCUAAGGGGUCGUUUGAUAAUUUUCGAAAAUAAAUCCAUUUUUGGAUAUUUAAACUAUCAA